GGCCUCAUCGUCUAACGGUUAGGACGUUUGCUUUUCAAGCAAAGAACCGGGGUUCGACUCCCCGUGAGGUCA
rfam:Parcubacteria (Magasanikbacteria) bacterium GW2011_GWA2_42_32 TV20_C0028, whole genome shotgun sequence.